CUACUGUCACCACGCCUUGGUGACGGGAAAUCGGUGCGAUACCGGUGCGGCCCUCGCCACUGUGAUCGGGAAGUCCGGCUCCAGUCCUCGCGGACGGCCACUGGGUCCCUCGGGACCCGGGAAGGCGGAGCACGGGCGGUGGUACCCGUCAGCCAGGAGACCGGCCAAGGCACGUCAACCAUCC
rnacentral:ncRNA from 17 species